rnacentral:rRNA from 1 species
UACAGAGGGUGCGAGCGUUAAUCGGAAUUACUGGGCGUAAAGCGUGCGUAGACGGCUAUCUAAGUCGGGUGUGAAAGCCCCGGGCUCAACCUGGGAAUUGCAUUCGAGACUGAAUAGCUAGGGUACGGUAGAGGGAAGUGGAAUUUACGGUGUAGCGGUGAAAUGCGUAGAUAUCGUAAGGAAGACCAGUGGCGAAGGCGGGUCUCUGGACAGUUCCUGACGCUGAGGCACGAAGGUCAGGGGAGCAAACGGG